rnacentral:rRNA from 1 species
UACGAAGGGGGCGAGCGUUGUUCGGAAUCACUGGGCGUAAAGGGCGCGUAGGCGGCCCUCUUUGUCGCGUGUGAAAGCCCCCGGCUCAACUGGGGAGGGUCACGCGAUACUGAUCGACUGGAAGGCAGGAGAGGGUAGUGGAAUUCCCGGUGUAGUGGUGAAAUGCGUAGAUAUCUGGAGGAAUACCGGUGGCGAAGGCGGCAUCCUGGACCGACAUUGACGCUGAAUAGCGAAAGCGAGGGGAGCAAACGGG